AGCAUAUCAAUAAGCGGAGGAAAAGAAACCAACAGGGAUUGCCUUAGUAGCGGCGAGUGAAGCGGCAAAAGCUCAAAUUUGAAAUCUGGCGCCUUCGGUGUCCGAGUUGUAAUUUGAAGAUUGUAACCUUGGGGUUGGCUCUUGUCUAUGUUUCUUGGAACAGGACGUCACAGAGGGUGAGAAUCCCGUGCGAUGAGAUGCCCAAUUCUAUGUAAGGUGCUUUCGAAGAGUCGAGUUGUUUGGGAAUGCAGCUCUAAGUGGGUGGUAAAUUCCAUCUAAAGCUAAAUAUUGGCGAGAGACCGAUAGCGAACAAGUACAGUGAUGGAAAGAUGAAAAGAACUUUGAAAAGAGAGUGAAAAAGUACGUGAAAUUGUUGAAAGGGAAGGGUUUGAGAUCAGACUCGAUAUUUUGUGAGCCUUGCCUUCGUGGCGGGGUGACCCGCAGCUUAUCGGGCCAGCAUCGGUUUGGGCGGUAGGAUAAUGGCGUAGGAAUGUGACUUUACUUCGGUGAAGUGUUAUAGCCUGCGUUGAUGCUGCCUGCCUAGACCGAGGACUGCGAUUUUAUCAAGGAUGCUGGCAUAAUGAUCCCAAACCGCCCGU
rnacentral:rRNA from 1 species